AAAGCUCAGAGCCCUUAGCUCUGCCCACUGCCUUCUGUUUCAGGCCACUAUUUGUAACCACAAUUAUAUACACAAGAGAUACUUAUUAUAGACUUGAUUCCAUUAUAAAACCAAACAUAUGUAUAUUCCUAUCCUUUUUAAUAUUGCUUAUGUAAUUUUGAAAAAAUAUUUUGAAAAAGGAACCUUAGUUUAAGAACAUGAAUAGGAGAGGGCUGCUUACUAAAGAGUUACUCUUUUGGCCAGGCAGUGGUGGUACACACCUUUAAUCCAGGUACUCAGGCGGCAGAGGCAGGUGGAUCUCUGAAUUUGAGACUAGCUUGGUCUCCAGAGCAUGUUCCAGGUCAACCAGAGCUACCCAGAGAAACCCUGUCACAGACCACACACACACACACACACACAUAGUUCCUGAUUUAGUACCAAAAUCAAAAUUUUAAGUUAAUGAACAUAAAUUUUCAAGACUAUAAUAGCCAAAGCUAGUUGAACAUCAUUUAAAAAUUAAUUCUUUUAUUCAUCCCAUUUCAGACUCUGGCCCUUUUGGAGGAAGAGGAAGAUAUAAACCAAAUCACAGAUUACUUCUCUUAUGAACAUUUCUAUGUCAUUUAUUGUAAAUUCUGGGAACUAGAUGGUGAUCAUGACCUAUACAUCAGCCAAGCUGAUCUCUCUCGAUACAAUGACCAGGCUUCAUCAAAUAGAAUUAUUGAAAGAAUAUUUUCUGGAGCAGUAACAAGAGGGAAAACUGUACAAAGAGAGGGAAGAAUGAGCUAUGCAGAUUUUGUUUGGUUUUUGAUUUCUGAGGAAGACAAACGG
rnacentral:lncRNA from 1 species